ensembl:ncRNA T14D7.4 ncRNA
UUCAAAAUGGUUUGCGUUGGGCAAGAAAGUUUGAAAGUGUGGUUAGAUAUGACGAGUGAUCUAGAAUGAUGCAGAAACAACAUGAUUCUUCAAUAAUACAAACUCUUUUUGCUUUGGAAUGUAGAGGAGGUGGAGGAGAAGCAGGAAGAGGCAGCUGUGACUCCCGGGCGAUGAGCAACUAUCUCUAUCCUCUCGAAACAUUCAAAAUGAUUGGUGAGACGCA